rnacentral:SRP_RNA from 1 species
UGUGCCCCGAGCGACGGUUUUCUCGCCAACCCCGUCAGGACCGGAAGGUAGCAGCGGUAACGAGAAGCCGGGUGCUCGGGGCCUUUUA